AAACUCCUACGGGAGGCAGCAGUGAGGAAUAUUGGUCAAUGGGCGAGAGCCUGAACCAGCCAAGUAGCGUGCAGGAUGAAGGCCCUAUGGGUUGUAAAACUGCUUUUAUAAGGGAAUAAAAGUGAGUCUCGUGAGACUUUUUGCAUGUACCUUAUGAAUAAGGACCGGCUAAUUCCGUGC
rnacentral:rRNA from 1 species